UACGUAAGGUGCAAGCGUUGUCCGGAAUUAUUGGGCGUAAAGAGCUCGUAGGCGGUCUGUCACGUCGGCUGUGAAAACCCGAGGCUCAACCUCGGGCCUGCAGUCGAUACGGGCAGACUAGAGUUCGGUAGGGGAGACUGGAAUUCCUGGUGUAGCGGUGAAAUGCGCAGAUAUCAGGAGGAACACCGGUGGCGAAGGCGGGUCUCUGGGCCGAAACUGACGCUGAGGAGCGAAAGCGUGGGGAGCGAACAGG
rnacentral:rRNA from 1 species